GAUCUAGUAUUUCAUGUUGUUUGGGUUCUCUGUUGGUUUAUAGCAUCAGUCGAAUGGGCUGUUGUUCAAAACAAAAUGAAAAGCUACAUCAAGACUAAAGUCAUCCGUGAUAAAUAUCUGGCAGAUAGUUGUACCGAUACAACAUACAAUGAACCAGGAUCUUAUGCACAGGCUGCCAUUGCUGAUGUAUUUGGUUUUACAAGUAUCGUUCUGUGGGGUGUUAAUAUAUUCUGGGUGGUCAUUGACACCAGCUUCUACUUGCAAUGGAAAGCAAAGUGAAGCAGCUCUGGAGAAUACAAUCAAAUAUGAAGGAACUUACUUUUUUCAUAUGAUUGUGUUGAUAGAUAUUAUUGG
rnacentral:misc_RNA from 1 species